rnacentral:tRNA from 1 species
AACAGGGUGACUGAGAUAUAAUAGUGGUGGAUUGUAAAUCCAUAAAUAGAGGUGAAACUCCCCUCCCUGUUA